UAGGGAAUCUUCCACAAUGGGCGCAAGCCUGAUGGAGCAACACCGCGUGAGUGAAGAAGGGUUUCGGCUCGUAAAGCUCUGUUGUUAAAGAAGGACACGUAUGAGAGUAACUGUUCAUACGUUGACGGUAUUUAACCAGAAAGUCACGGCUAACUACGUGCCAC
rnacentral:rRNA from 1 species